rnacentral:rRNA from 1 species
GACGAACGCUGGCGGUGUGCUUAACACAUGCAAGUCGAACGGUAAGGCCCUUUCGGGGGUACACGAGUGGCGAACGGGUGAGUAACACGUGAGUAACCUGCCCUCAUCUCUGGGAUAACAGUCGGAAACGGUUGCUAAUACUGGAUAUGAGCUUGCAAGGCAUCUUGUGGGUUGGGAAGAUUUUUUUUGGUUGGGGAUGGACUCGCGGCCUAUCAGCUUGUUGGUGAGGUAGUGGCUCACCAAGGCUUCGACGGGUAGCCGGCCUGAGAGGGCGACCGGCCACAUUGGGACUGAGAUACGGCCCAAACUCCUACGGGAGGCAGCAGUGGGGAAUAUUGCACAAUGGACGGAAGUCUGAUGCAGCAACGCCGCGUGCGGGAUGACGGCCUUCGGGUUGUAAACCGCUUUCAAUUGUGACGAAGCUUUUUUGUGACGGUAGCAGUAGAAGAAGCACCGGCUAACUACGUG